rnacentral:snRNA from 1 species
GGAUACUUAGAGAACCCCCAUGAGCUCCUCCUGCAUCCUCAGUUGAAGAGGAAGACCCUCCCUGAGAGAGGAGGACUGAAUUUUAAUCAAGACUCUAUGAGUAGCCAUGCUCCUGUGCUAGAACCAGACUAAAGGCAAAGUAUAAGAAAAACAAGGCUAUAAGCCCAAAGUCUUUCAUGGCACAU